AAAAGUCGUAACAGGGUUUCCGUAGGUGAACCUGCGGAAGGAUCAUUAAAAAAUAUCACACGUUUUAUGGUGUGAUUUAAUAAUCAUCCUACCCUUUGUGAAUUUGUUUUGUAUUUGAAAAUUUAUGUGGUCUAUCCCUGAUGGUUUUUGGGAAAGUUGAGAAACUUUUUCGAAUCCUCAGGGACUAGGCUUUCAUAGACCUUUUUUUAAAUUCAACUUUUUGUAUUCAUUUGUCAAAAUUUAUUUUUAAUAAUUUAAAAACAACUUUUGACAAUGGAUCCUUGGUUCUCGCAACGAUGAAGAACGCAGCAAAAUGCGAUAAGUAAUGUGAAUUGCAGAAUACGUGAAUCAUCGAAUCUUCGAACGCAUAUUGCACUUUUUUGGUUUACCAAAAAAGUAUGUCUGUUUGAGUAUCAGUAAAAUAUUCUCAUAAAAACUUUUUUGUUUUUAUGGUUAUGAGUGUUUUACAACGAUAAACAAGUUGUUUCACUUUAAAUUCUUUGUCUUUUAAAAAAUCAUUAAAAACUGAUUUUUUUUUAAAAUUGGAUAAAAUUUUCCCGUAAAAAGGAAUAACCUAAACAAUUUUAAGAAUUAAAUUAGUUUGAUUUUUUAAAAGAUCUAACAAGGAAAAAAAAGUAAAAAUGAACUUGAUCUCAAAUCAGAUAAGAGUACCCGCUGAACUUAAGCAUAUCAAUAAGCGGAGGAAAAGAAACUAACUAGGAUUCCCUCAGUAACGGCGAGUGAAGCGGGAAGAGCUCAAAUUUGAAAUCUUCAAGGUUCUACCUUGACGAAUUGUAGUUUAAAGAAGUGUUUUCUGUUGGAGUUUUGGUAAAAGUUCUUUGGAAUAGGACAUCAUAGAGGGUGAGAAUCCCGUAUUUGACCAUUAUUUCCAACUUGUGAUACACUUUCAAAGAGUCGGAUUGUUUGGGAAUGCAGUCCAAAAUGGGUGGCAAAUUUCAUCUAAAGCUAAAUACUGGCGAGAGACCGAUAGCGAACAAGUACCGUGAGGGAAAGAUGAAAAGAACUUUGAAAAGAGAGUUAAACAGUACGUGAAAUUGUCAAAAGGGAAGCGUUUGACACCAGUGUUGUUUUCUCGAAAAUCAAUUAAAAAUGGCCGGAUUUUGUGUUGUAUUGACUUUAUCAGCUUUCUGCACUUUUUUCUUGUCUUUUUUAAUGCACUUUUCGUUUAACAAGUCAACAUCGAUUUCUUUUGUUGUAAAAGGGUCAUUGGAAGGUGGCUUUCUUUCGGUGAAAGUGUUUAUAGCCUUUGACUCUGCAAUCGGAGAGAUUGAGGUCUGCAGCGUAGAUCCUUCGGGGUUAGAUGCAUUUGUGCUAAGUUAUAGCUUUCAUAGACAACAUGUUGACUAUGAUAAUCAUGUAGCUUACUCGCUAUGUCAUUUUACCUACGCUUAGGAUGUUGAC
rnacentral:misc_RNA from 1 species